AUCCUGCUAACGAGUCGCAAAUAGAACGAAACGUGAGUCCUGGAU
rnacentral:hammerhead_ribozyme from 1 species